UACAUCAACUGCCACAGAAUCAGGGAUUCUUCCAGCAAUGAACGGAGGAACCUCACAACUGCAGAAGGCCCCUCAACAAGAUGCGCAGCAGGGAAAUUCCUUUACAUUCCAGAUUUUUCAACGUACUCUAGAAGAGAUUCUUGAUUCCUUUCAGAAAUCAGUACACGAAGAUAUGAGGAACCUUCAUAUAGAAAUUUUAAGACAAUUCCACCUGCAAGAGACGGUAUGUCAACGGUAUGAACAAAAUUCUGGCAAACCAAUAAGCUGAGCUAAUGGAAGAAGUUAAAUCUCUGUGGAAAGAAAACCAGCAACUCCGGCAGUUGCUCUGAGCUCUGGUGAAGAUUGUAUAUAGUGUUAAUGAUUUUUGUGGAUUGGAAUAUGCCCUCUGUUUGUGCUUUACAAUUUGCCCUUCGUUAAUGGGCUUCUGUUCAGUAGAAAGUUUGGGGGUUAUUUUUUUCCUAGUUUAGGGUUUCCUUUUCGGCAAUGAAACGUUUGGCAUUCUGUACACAUUAUAAUGAAACAUCUUGAUUUU